rnacentral:misc_RNA from 1 species
GAAAUGCGAUAAGUAAUGUGAAUUGCAGAAUUCCGUGAAUCAUCGAAUCUUUGAACGCACAUUGCGCCCUCUGGUAUUCCGGGGGGCAUGCCUGUCCGAGCGUCAUUGCGAACCCCUCAAGCACGGCUUGUGUGAUGGGCCCUCCCGCGUCUUGGUCGUCAAGACGGGCCCGAAAUGCAGUGGCGGCUUCGCGGUUAUUCGAUCAGCCAGAGCGUAUGGGGACUUUCUCUCUGUCACACGCCCGCGGCGCGGACCGACGCCUGUCGACCUUCAUUCAUCGUUUUCUCGGUUGACCUCGGAUCAGGUAGGGAUACCCGCUGAACUUAAGC